ACGAGAUGCCCACAGUAGCGGCGAGCGAAGAGGGCAGAGGGCAAACCGGUGAGCUACGGCUCGCCGGGGUUGAGGACUGCAUUUAGUCUCAAUGGUCUAUCCGAACUACCUGGAAAGGUAGGCAAUACAGUGUAAAAGCCACGUAGGUUAAAGACCGGAGAGAUGAGCAGUAUCCAGAGUACCACGAGGCACGAGGAAUCUUGUGGGAAGCCGGGGGGACCACCCUCCAACCCUAAACACUGAAUGGCGACCGAUAGCGCAUAGUACCGUGAGGGAAAGGUGAAAAGAACCCCGGGAGGGGAGUGAAAGAGAACCUGAAACCGUAUGUCUACAAGCAGUCGGAGCGAAAGCGACGGCGUGCCUAUUGAAGAAUGAACCAACGAGUUACGUGCACUAGCGAGGUUAAGUGGAAGACACGGAGCCGAAGCGAAAGCGAGUCUUAAGAGGGCGGAUAGUUAGUGUACGUAGACCCGAAACCGCAGUGAUCUACCCAUGUCCAGGUUGAAGCGCAGGUAAAAUUGCGUGGAGGACCGAACCUGUGAGCGUUGAAAAGCUUUAGGAUGAGAUGUGGGUAGAGGUGAAAUUCCAAUCGAACGCGGAGAUAGCUGGUUCUCCCCGAAAUAGCUUUAGGGCUAGCCUCAAGUAGUAAGUAUAGGCGGUAGAGCACUGAUCGGGCUAGGGGCCAUAAAGGUUACCGAACCCUGUCAAACUCCGAAUGGUUAUACUGUAGAGCUUGGGAGUCAGACUACGAGUGAUAAGAUCCGUGGUCAAAAGGGAAACAGCCCAGACCACCAGCUAAGGUCCCCAAUGUCGUACUAAGUGGAAAAGGAUGUGGGGUCUCUAAAACAACCAGGAUGUUGGCUUAGAAGCAGCCACCAUUUAAAGAGUGCGUAAUAGCUCACUGGUCGAGAGACCCUGCGCCGAAGAUUACCGGGGCUAAAGUACGAAACCGAAGCUGUGGCUACGACAUAUGUCGUGGGGUAGGGGAGCGUUCUGUGAGGGCUGAAGUCGUUCUGUAAGGAACGGUGGACUUCACAGAAGUGAGAAUGUUGGUAUGAGUAGCGAAAAGAAUGGUGAGAAUCCAUUCCACCGAAAGCAUAAGGAUUCCUGGGCAACGAUCGUCGUCCCAGGGUAAGUCGGGACCUAAUCCGAGGCAUGGAGCGUAGGAGAUGGACAACUGGCAGAUAUUCCAGUACCGGUAAUGAUUGUUUGAGCGAUGGAGUGACACAGGAGGGCAGGCAGGCAGGAGAUUGGUUGUUCCUGUACAAGCGUGUAGGAUGGGACGCAGGCAAAUCCGCGUCCUGUGAGUCUGAGGCGUGAUGUGGAGGUUCCGGAAACGGAACUGAAGCUGCUGACCCCACACUGUCGAGAAAAGCUUCUAGUUAGAGAAUUACCGCCCGUACCGUAAACCGACACAGGUAUGCGGGGAGAGAAUCCUAAGGUGCGCGGGAGAACCCUCGUUAAGGAACUCGGCAAAAUGUACCCGUAACUUCGGGAUAAGGGUAGCCGCUGUUGUGAAGUCUGAACAGACGGAGCAUGAGGCGGUCGCAGAGAAGAGGCCCAAGCGACUGUUUACCACAAACACAGGUGCCUGCUAAAGAGAAAUCUGACGUAUAGGUGCUGACACCUGCCCAGUGCCGGAAGGUUAAGGAAGGAUGUCCGGAGCAAUCCAAAGCAUUCGACCGAAGCCCCGGUGAACGGCGGCCGUAACUAUAACGGUCCUAAGGUAGCGAAAUUCCUUGUCGGGUAAGUUCCGACCCGCACGAAAGGUGUAACGAUUUGGGCACUGUCUCAACGAGGGACCCGGUGAAAUUGAAGUACCUGUGAAGAUGCAGGUUACCCGCGACUGGACAGAAAGACCCCAUGGAGCUUUACUGUAACCUGACAUUGGGUUCUGAUACAUCACGUACAGGAUAGGUGGGAGGCAUGGAAGCGAGGACGCUAGUCUUCGUGGAGCCGCCGUUGGGAUACCACCCUUGAUGUAUCGGAAUUCUAACCGUAGGAGUAACGAAACUCGGGACAGUGUCAGGCGGGCAGUUUGACUGGGGCGGUCGCCUCCCAA
rnacentral:rRNA from 1 species